rnacentral:sRNA from 1 species
UACAGAGGGUGGCCAAAAGUAUUCGUCAAAUAUGGCGCCGAAAUUCCACAAUUAUAAUAACUUGACAUUCAAAGUCAAUUUUAUUGAUCUUUUGUCAACAACAAGGGAAAGUCCGGAAUUCUAAUUUUAAAAUGGGUAUUUUGUCACGUGACAGUAUACGUCAUAUUGUCGUCAGAUGUACGUUUGUUAUUGUUUUCAUGUGUAGAAGCCAUGGGCAGGAAAGGGAAAGAAUUAUCACCGGACCUUAAACGAAUUGCUGUAGAUUUGUUUAGAAAUGGAGGUAAAAUAUCUGACAUUGCAAGAAUAUUACAAAAGCCUAGGUCUACAAUAUCUGGCAUUAUUAGAAGAUUUCAAGACGCUGGAACAACAGAGAAUCGUCCAAGAUCAGGGAGGCCCCGCGCCAUGUUGGACAGAGACUACCGGCAGCUGGAAAAAAUUGUAAAAAAAGAUCGGAGAACACCGCUUACUGACAUAACUUCGAAGUUUAAUGAACAAAGGGAUGUACAACUACAAGUGUCUAAACGUACUGUAAGACGACGUUUGAGGGAUCACGGAUUUUCUCGGGGAGUGUACAAAAAGAAAGUUAUUAUCAAAUUUGACAAUCGGAAAAAACGCGUAUAUGUAUGGAAAAAGCAAGGGGAAGGCUGGAGACCGGACUUCGUGCAAAGUAAAAUUGACCGAAAAUUUAGCACUAUGGUGUGGGGAUGUAUCUGCUAUCAAGGUGUAGGGACACUUACGAAAGUUGAGGGAUAUAUAAACGCUGACAAGUAUAUCAGCAUUCUGGACGAUAAUAUUUGGCCCGUUAUUGCAAGACAUUUUCCUACAAAUGACUAUCUUUUCCAGGAUGACAAUGCUCCGGUGCAUAGGGCUCGUUCGACUCAAGCUUACAUAGCGAGGACACAUCUGAAAAAAUAUGAGUUGGCCAGCACAAUCACCCGAUUUGAACAUUAUUGAAAAUGUAUGGUUGUAUAUCAAAAGAAAACUUCAGGUUCGGGUGUAUAACAUAAAUUCAAAAGAUGAACUGUACAGGGAGAUUUUUCGGAUCUGGCAAAGUAUUCCUUUAAAUUACAUUAGAAGUUUGUAUGACUCAAUUCCUAGGAGAAUAAUUCAUGUUAUUAGAUUAAAGGGACACCUUACUAAAUAUUAAAGGUACAGUUUUGUUUUAUUUUUCUUUAUUGACUGAGUAAAAUAAGAUUCAUUUUAUGAAGCAGUUUAUUGUCAGUUCACACGGCAGCCAUAUUUGACGAAUACUUUUGGCCACCCUCUGUA